rnacentral:tRNA from 1 species
UGGGGUGUCGCUCAGGGGUAGAGUACUUGCAUAGGAUGCACAAGGCCCUGGUUUCAAUCCUCAGUACUUCAA